AUUGAACGCUGGCGGCAUGCUUUACACAUGCAAGUCGAACGGUAACAGGCCGCAAGGUGCUGACGAGUGGCGAACGGGUGAGUAAUGCAUCGGAACGUGCCCAGUCGUGGGGGAUAACGCAGCGAAAGCUGCGCUAAUACCGCAUACGAUCUAUGGAUGAAAGCGGGGGACCGUAAGGCCUCGCGCGAUUGGAGCGGCCGAUGUCAGAUUAGGUAGUUGGUGGGGUAAAGGCUCACCAAGCCAACGAUCUGUAGCUGGUCUGAGAGGACGACCAGCGACACUGGGGCUGGGACACGGCCCAGACUCCGACGGGAGGCAGCAGUGGGGAAUUUUGGACAAUGGGCGCAAGCCUGAUCCAGCAAUGCCGCGUGCAGGAAGAAGGCCUUCGGGUUGUAAACUGCUUUUGUACGGAACGAAACGGUCCUGGUUAAUACCUGGGGCUAAUGACGGUACCGUAAGAAUAAGCACCGGCUAACUACGUGCCAGCCGCCGCCGUAACAC
rnacentral:rRNA from 1 species